GGAAUUUUCCGCAAUGGGCGAAAGCCUGACGGAGCAACGCCGCGUGAGGGAUGAAGGCCUCUGGGCUGUAAACCUCUUUUAUCAAGGAAGAAGAUCUGACGGUACUUGAUGAAUAAGCCACGGCUAAUUCCGUGCCAGCAGCCGCGGUAAUACGGGAGUGGCAAGCGUUAUCCGGAAUUACUGGGCGUAAAGCGCACGCAGGUGGUCACGCAAGUGGUGUGUGAAACCAAUCAGCUUAACUGAUUGACGCCAUGCCAAACUGCGAGACUGGAGGGAUGGAGAGGUUGUUCGAAUUGCUGGUGUAGUGGUGAAAUGCGUAGAGAUCAGCAGGAAGACCACCAGUGGCGAAGGCGCUCUGCUGGGCCAUAACUGACGCUCAUGGACGAAAGCCAGGGGAGCGAAAGGGAUUAGAUACCCCUGUAGUC
rnacentral:rRNA from 1 species